AUUGAACGCUGGCGGAAUGCUUUACACAUGCAAGUCGAACGGCAGCACGGGGCAACCUGGUGGCGAGUGGCGAACGGGUGAGUAAUACAUCGGAACGUGCCCAAUCGUGGGGGAUAACGUAGCGAAAGUUACGCUAAUACCGCAUACGAUCUACGGAUGAAAGCGGGGGAUCGCAAGACCUCGCGCGAGUGGAGCGGCCGAUGUCAGAUUAGGUAGUUGGUGGGGUAAAGGCUCACCAAGCCAACGAUCUGUAGCUGGUCUGAGAGGACGACCAGCCACACUGGAACUGAGACACGGUCCAGACUCCUACGGGAGGCAGCAGUGGGGAAUUUUGGGACAAUGGGCGCAAGCCUGAUCCAGCCAUUCCGCGUGCAGGAUGAAGGCCUUCGGUU
rnacentral:rRNA from 1 species